AACGGGGGGACCAAGCGUUUAUUCGUCUUGACUGGGCGUAAAGGGCAAGUAGGUGGUCUGAUGCUUUCUUCUCUAAAAAAAACAAACAAAUACGUUUGCAUUAGAGAAGGGGUCAAUGACUAGAGUGCAAUAGAGGAUAGCAGUACUCUCAAUGGAGGGGUAGAAUAUCCUUUGAUAUUGUAGGGGACUAUCAGUGGCGAAAGCGGCUAUCUGGAUGAUACUGACACUGAGAGGCGAAAGCGUGGGGAGCAAACGGG
rnacentral:rRNA from 1 species